CUAUGCGCCUUGCCAGCCCGCUCAGUCAGAGUUUGAUCCUGGCUCAGGAUGAAUGCUGGCGGCGUGCCUAAUACAUGCAAGUCGAGCGGCAGCGCGAGUAGUUUACUACUUGGCGGCGAGCGGCGAACGGCUGAGUAACGCGUGGGAACAUGCCCCAAAGUGAGGAAUAACUGCCCGAAAGGGUAGCUAAUGCCGCAUAUGCUCUUAGGAGUAAAGUCUUCGGACGCUUUGGGAGUGGCCCGCGUAUGAUUAGUUUGUUGGUGAGGUAAUGGCUCACCAAGACUACGAUCAUUAGCUGGUCUGAGAGGAUGAUCAGCCAGACUGGAACUGAGACACGGUCCAG
rnacentral:rRNA from 1 species